CAGGGAACUAGUCAUCAAUAACUCAUUUUGCUUAUUUUAGUUCAAAGAAAAUUUUAGGAAUUUCACAUGAGCUUUUAUUUAUGCAGCACUUUGCCAAUGAACUCAUAUGGUAGUCGCUUUGUGCUUCCUGGAGGAUGAGCUGGUUUUAAUUCAGCAAAGUGAAUGGAAACAUCCAGAUGUUCCCUCUAUGAACAUUGAAGCAGAAAGGAGUUUUGCAAAGUAACUUUUCCAAAAACAGAUUGUAAUUUCCAGAAACAAUUGUUAGAACUCCAGCCAAUGACUGAAAACUUUUCCUCCAGAUGAUAUGAAAGUAUCAAUUGCUGCAUGGAUUUUUGAUCUUUAAGGAUUCCGCCCUGGACAACACACUGCAUUUGGUUGUCAUAUUCCCUUGGUUCUUCUGGAAUUCACCACAGAGCCUACAGAUGCUCCUGGACUUACAAUGGGAUGGUGCGCUGCUUAAAGCCGUCAUAAAUUGAAAAUGACCAAGUGGGUAAUGCAGGCAAUCCACCCAACCUCCCUGUCCCCGCAGUCAGCAGUGCAGCACACGGCAGAGGCGGCAGUCCGGUCCCCCCAAGGCCACAGAGUGGACUGGAAGCCGUGACCACUGCCAAUGCCAGCAGCCAAGAGAGGAUCUGACAGCACAGCACCAGCAGGAGAAAGAUCAAGUUCAACAUUGGAAGUUUGAUUUCUAUCUAUCACAUCACUAUUACACCAUUGUAAAGCCCCCAAAUCCAAUGUUGAUACAUUCUAAGUCAGGGACCAUCUGCACCCCAAAGAAAGUGAAACCAAGAAAGAGCACCUAAUGGCUAAUAACGUGGGCUCCAGCGAUGGGGGCAGAAGACUCCAGCUGACGGCUCCUGCAUUCAGUCCAGGGAAAGCCCACUCACAUUUAGAACCGUUAAGGACCCUGCAGAGGGAGAAGUUCAUGCAGUGGUGUGGCCCAGGAGCAGAUACAUGUUAAGACCUAGAGAAAUUACAUUAUUCCUUUUUCAACAGGAAGGAUUUUUAAAAAUCCCUUAAAAGCAUGAAAAAAUAAAAGAAUUUAAAAUGGAUGGCUUAAGGGUGACGCAUGUGCUGUGCAACGACUUUCAGCAUUUAAUAACAGAAAGGGGCUUCGCUGGACUCUGAUGUGAGCCACCUUGCCUUUGGUACUACGAGUUCAGCUGCCUUAGGUAUGGAGAGAAGGAAACACCUCCCUGGCACACCGUCUGGCUCUGCCUGGGACAACAUUAACAGGCCCACAAAGGCUGCUCUGAGUUUCCUUUUAGGAUCGUCUAGAGGCGUGCAAAACUUAAUUCCAUUUUUAGAAAGAAAAGUAAAAUAGUAUCAGCUUUAAUACUGAAGUCCUGAUGAUCAGAAGUUACUCGGUGAGCAAGGGUAAGGAAAAAGGGGAGAAUACGAUGAGGCAGCUUUUAUGAGGGCAAGUGAGUGAUCACAGUGUUUUCAACUUUGCAGUAAAGAUAUAAAUGGAUUACACACCAUGCUUACAAUAUUACAGCAUUCUGAAUUUAUCUGUAUAGUUGCUCUUACCAGUGAUUAUCUAUCUUCUGAUAUUCUAUCUCUUUUUAAAAAGAUUUAUUUAUUUGAAAGGCAGAGUUACAGAGAGGCAAAGGCAGAGAGAAAUAGAGAGAGAGAGAGGGAGAGAGAGAGGGAGAGAGAGAGAGAGAGGUCUUCUAUCCACUUGUUCACUCCCCAAAUGGCUGUAACUGCCGGAGCCAGGAGCUUCUUCUGGGUCUCCCAUGUGGGUGCAGGGGUCCAAGGACUUGGACCAUCUUCCACUUCUUUCCCAGGCCAUAGCAGAGAGCUGGAUCGAAAGUGGAGCAGCCGGGACUUGAACUCGUGCCCGUACGGGAUGUCGGCACUGCAGCCAUUAUGCCCCAGCGCUGGUAGACUUGAUUUGAAUAUGACCUUUAACCUUCCUGUACCUGAAUAGUUGUAUCUUUCUCUAGGUUUGGGGAAUUUUUGGUCUUUAGAUAUGCUUUGACAUUCUUAAGUUCCUUUUGAAUCCCAAUAACCCAAAUAUUUGCUCUUUUUAUACUAUCCCAUAUUUCUCAUAUGCUUUCUUCAUUCUUGUUGAUUCUUAUUUAUUUUUUAAAGAUUUAUGUUAUUUAUUUAAAAGAGAAGUAGGUUCUCUUCAACCUCACUGAUGCUUCCUUCUGUGUGCUGUAUUCUACUACUGAUACCUUCUUUCACAUUUUAAAUUUCACUUACUGCAUUUUCAGUUGAAAGAUUUCUGCUGGAUUUUGUUUAAUUACUUCCAUCUCCAUCAAACUCUCUUAGAAUAUGGAUGAUUUCUCCAUGUUCUCUUAAAUUUCAUUGAGCUUCCUUAAAGCAGGUUUUUUUUUUGUUUUUUGUUUUUUUUUUUUUUUUUGACAGGCAGAGUGGACAGUGAGAGAGACAGAGAGAAAGGUCUUCCUUUGCCGUUGGUUCACCCUCCAAUGGCCGCUGUGGCCGGCGCACCGUGCUGAACCGAUGGCAGGAGCCAGGUGCUUCUCCUGGUCUCCCAUGGGGUGCAGGGCCCCAGCACUUGGGCCAUCCUCCACUGCACUCCCGGGCCAAAGCAGAGAGCUGGCCUGGAAGAGGGGCAACCGGGACAGAAUCCGGCGCCCUGACCGGAACUAGAACCCGGUAUGCCGGCGCCGCAAGGCGGAGGAUUAGCCUAGUGAGCCGCGGUGCCGGCUCAGGUAUUUUUCUACCUUCAUCUGAGCAGGUGGAAAUUCCAGUUCCUAGAUUAUUGCUUUCUGGGACCCUAUUUUACUCUCAGGUGAGGCCGUGGUUCCCUGGAAGUUCUGGGUGCUUCUUGGUGCACAGCGUUGUCUGUGCAUUGAAGGAUUAGCGAUGGUAAACUGGGUUUAUUUAUGGCUGCCUUUCUAGAAAUUGUUCAUUUUCCCUUAGCCUAUGGAUACUUCUACUGCAGCCCCAAAUAGCAUCCUAACUCAUGGUUUUCUCUAGGCCUUAUGUUGAUGUUUUUACUGGUUUCUUUUUCUCUUCCUUUCUUUUCCUCCUCUCCUCUCCUCUCCUCUCCUCUCCUCUCCUCUCCUCUCCUCUCCUCUCCUCUCCUCUCCUCUCCUCUCC